rnacentral:rRNA from 1 species
UACAGAGGGUGCAAGCGUUGUUCGGAAUUACUGGGCGUAAAGCGCGCGCAGGCGGUUUUCCAAGUCAGUGGUGAAAGCCCGGAGCUCAACUCCGGAACUGCCAUUGAAACUGGCGAACUUGAGUACGAGAGAGGUGAGUGGAAUUCCCAGUGUAGAGGUGAAAUUCGUAGAUAUUGGGAAGAACACCGGUGGCGAAGGCGGCUCACUGGCUCGUAACUGACGCUCAGGCGCGACAGCGUGGGGAUCAAACAGG